rnacentral:rRNA from 1 species
GACGAACGCUGGCGGCGUGCUUAACACAUGCAAGUCGAACGGUGAAGCGCCUUCCUUUUUGGUGGGUGUGGAUGAGUGGCGAACGGGUGAGUAACACGUGAGUAACCUGCCCCCUUCUUCUGGAUAACCGCAUGAAAGUGUGGCUAAUACGGGAUAUUCUGGGUCUGUCGCAUGAUGGGUCUGGGAAAGAUAUUGUUUCGGUGGGGGAUGGGCUCGCGGCCUAUCAGCUUGUUGGUGGGGUGAUGGCCUACCAAGGCGAUGACGGGUAGCCGGCCUGAGAGGGUGGACGGUCACACUGGGACUGAGACACGGCCCAGACUCCGACGGGAGGCAGCAGUGGGGAAUAGGGCACAAUGGGCGCAAGCCUGAUGCAGCGACGCCGCGUGAGGGAUGGAGGCCUGCGGGUGGUGAACCUCUUUCGCCAGUGAAGCAGGCCUGCCUCGUUUGUGGGUGGGUUGACGGUAGCUGGAUAAGAAGCGCCGGCUAACUACGUG